rnacentral:rRNA from 1 species
UACGGGGGGGGCAAGCGUUGUUCGGAAUUACUGGGCGUAAAGGGCGCGUAGGCGGCCUGCUAAGUCGGAUGUGAAAUCCCUCGGCUCAACCGAGGAACUGCAUCCGAUACUGGCGGGCUUGAAUCCGGGAGAGGGAUGCGGAAUUCCAGGUGUAGCGGUGAAAUGCGUAGAUAUCUGGAGGAACACCGGUGGCGAAGGCGGCAUCCUGGACCGAAACUGACACUGAGGCGCGAAAGCCAGGGGAGCAAACGGG